CCUACGGGAGGCAGCAGUGAGGAAUAUUGGUCAAUGGACGAGAGUCUGAACCAGCCAAGUAGCGUGAGGGAUGAAGGCUCUAUGGGUUGUAAACUUCUUUUAUAUGGGAAUAAAAUGUUCCACGUGUGGGAUUUUGUAUGUACCUUAUGAAUAAGGAUCGGCUAACUCCGUGCCAGCAGCCGCGGUAAUACGGAGGAUCCGAGCGUUAUCCGGAUUUAUUGGGUUUAAAGGGAGCGUAGGUGGAUUGUUAAGUCAGUUGUGAAAGUUUGCGGCUCAACCUUAGAAUUGCAGUUGAAACUGGCAGUCUUGAGUACAGUAGAGGUGGGCGGAAUUCGUGGUGUAGCGGUGAAAUGCUUAGAUAUCACGAAGAACUCCGAUUGCGAAGGCAGCUCACCGGACUGCAACUGACACUGAGGCUCGAAAGUGUGGGGAUCAAACAGGAUUAGAUACCCUAGUAGUC
rnacentral:rRNA from 1 species